AAAGGUUAUCGAGCGAAUCGAUUUGUUUUGAUUAUUAAAUUUUGUUGAAGUUUUAUUAGAAAAAUAUUUUUUAGGUUUAGUUGGUUGGAGAAGAAUCUAUGUCAGCUAUAGAGUAGAGUACUGUAAGGGGAAGUUGAAGUAGUAUAGGGCACAUACUGUAAAAGUAAAGUUAAAAGCUUGUACCUUGUGUAUUAGGGAUAUUUUAUAUAAGUUAGCUAUGAUAUUUAUCCCGAAAGAGGAAGAGUUAAAUUAAUAAUUGAGUUUUUGUUGUAAAAAAAUUUAGAAUUUUAAUUUAGUGGUGAAAUGUUAGUCGGGUCCCCUGAUAUCUGGUUUUUUUGGAAAUAAAUUGAAUUUAGUUUUUAUAUAGUGAUGUAUAAAAUGAAGGAACAGGAGGGGAGAGCUUUUUGUUUAAGUUUUAAUGUUUUAUAAGGAAGUAAGUGAGAGCAAGUUUAACUAGGCUUAGAAGUAGCUUUGUUUGUAUGGUGUUAUAACUAAAAUUUGUAGUGAUUGUAUUUUUCUUUUUUUAGAUAGUUACAGAAAAUUGUUUUUAAGUUUAUGAGAUGCAGUUAUAAUUGAUAUAUUAGUAUAUAGUGUAAAUAUUGAGGGAAAAUGGAAUAAGGAAUAUUAAUGUAAGCAUUAUUUAGUAGAGGAAUUCGGCAAAAAUUGUUUCCGCCUGUUUAUCAAAAACAUGUCUGUAUGAGAGGUUUAUAGAGUCUGGCCUGCCCAUUGGGAACUAAAAGGCCGCGGUAUUUUGACCGUGCGAAGGUAGCAUAAUCAUUAGUCUUUUAAUUGAAGGCUUGUAUGAAGGGUUAGACGAGAAGUCAGCUGUCUUUAUUGAAAAGAUGGAAUUUAACUUUUAAGUGAGAGGGCUUAAAUAUUCUAAGGGGACGAUAAGACCCUAUAAAGUUUGAUAUUUAAUUUUUUAAAAAAUAAGAUAAAUAGGUAAAGUUAGUUAGAAAAAAGAUGUUUUGUUGGGGCGACAAGAAUAUAAAUUAUAUAACUGUUUUUAUAUUCAUACAACGAUAAUUGAAUUUAUGAACCUUUGUAAAGGUAAUAGAGUAAAUUACUUUAGGGAUAACAGCGUAAUUUUUUUUGAGAGUUCUUAUCGACAAAAAAGUUUGCGACCUCGAUGUUGAAUUAAAGGUUCUUUGUAAUGUAGCAGUUACAGGAGAAGGUCUGUUCGACCUUUAAAUCUUUACGUGAUUUGAGUUCAGACCGGCGUGAGCCAGGUUGGUUUCUAUCUUUUAGAUUUGAUUAGGUUGCUUUAGUACGAAAGGAUUGAGUAACUAAAAUAUUUUUAUUAUUGAAUUUCAGAGAAAAAAGAAAUUAUCUUUUAACUUUAAUUUCCAAAAUUAAUAUUUUAUAAACU
rnacentral:rRNA from 1 species